rnacentral:lncRNA from 1 species
CUUUUUUUUUUUUUUUUUUUUUUUUUUUAGCCUGUGCUCCCAGCAUGUGGAAGUUACAGGGAGGCCAGGGAUGGAACCUGAGCCGCCAUAGCAACCCAAGCAGCGACAAUGCCAGAAUCCUUAACCUGUUGUGCCACGGAAUUUCUCCUUGAAUUUUCUUGUACUAAAUGUACUUUGACUCUUCCAUAACAUUUUAUAUCAAAAUUAACGAUACAUUUAGGGCUCAUAAAUUUGAAGGAUAGGAAUUAUUAUGUGCUAGACAGAUUAAAAAAAUAUUUUUUGCAUAAUAGCUGCUAUUUUCCAGGAAAGGACUGGAGAGCUUUGUGUUUAUGGUGCCAACUGUCCAUGUUUUGUCUAUGUUUUGCACAGAAAAUGGUUUUAGAAGCAUUGAGUUUUUAGGAACCUGGAAAGAUUGAAGAUAGAAUCUGGAUCUAAAAGAUUGACUUCCAGGUCACUUUGAAUAGUGAUAAUGCAUUUUCUCCCCUACUUAUACUUGCUGAACCCAAGUGGGAUCACCAGGUACUCUGGUGUUUAGACGUUUAUUCAUUCUAAUAAGCCAGGAAUUUUGUUCAAUAUACAAAAUAAACAUGUCCUUUUCCCCAAGAUUUAUAUUGUAGUGGAAAUGUCUAUUUAUUUAUGUUUUAGUGUAUUUGUUUUGGACAGAGGGUUUUAAUAUAUUGUACAAAAUGUAUUGAUAGUCCUUUCAAAUUUGGCAGUGGUUUGUCGGGUAUAAAUGUAAUUAUCAAGAUCAGAAACUUCCAGGAAUUCAGAAGAACAGAUUCUGCAUGACAAAUGUAGCCAUCUCAGAGUUUAAAGAAGUGGAAAGAAGUAAAGGUGGUGACAUUUCAAAGGUUUCCACAAGGCUACAAACAUUAAUAAAGAUUUUCAUAUGUUAUAUAUAAACCGCAUAUGUGAUAUAUUAUAUCUGUAAUAAAAUAAUUUAGAUUUUUGUGUGUGUUUCAACAGCUCAGCCUGUACAAAUAAACUGUUUCCAUGGGCGAUGUGAUCAUCUCAACACAGCUUGGUAUUUGUUCCACUGAGUGUGUGGUUUCUAUUCCUAAUAAUUUUUUUUUUUUUUUAUCAAGCACUUUGGAAAAACAAACAUUUAUUUGACACAUCAAAAAUGCUUCACUGGUGAUUGACAUUUCUUCUUUCCAACAGAUGGUGCUAUCUUACUGCCAACUAUUGCAGGGCAAACCCUCUAGAUAAAUAAAUCCCUCUCUCCAUUUAUCAACCACUGGUUCAGGUUCAUUUGUCCCAUGAGCCAAAUGUCCUCAGUCGAGGAUCAUAGUAUCUUAAGAAUGAAGUCUCUUUUUUAUUUUUUAAUGAUUUUUAUUUUUUCCAUUAUAGUUGGUUUAUAGUGUUCUGUCAUUUCUACUGCACAGCAAAGUGACCCAGUCACACGUAUAUAUAUACUCUUUCUCUCGUGUUAUCCUUCCUCAUGUGCCGUCAUAGUGACCAGAUAUAGUUCUUAGUGCUAUACUGCAAGAUCUCAUUGCUUAUCCACUCCAAAUGCAAAGUUUGCAUCUAUUAACCCCAGACCCCCUGUCCAUCGCACUCCCUCCCCCUUGAAAAUCACAAGUCCAUGAGUUUGUUUCUUUUCUGCAGAUAGGUUCGUUUUGCCAGCUAUUAGAUUCCAGAUUUAAGUGAUAUCAUAUGGUAUUUGUCUUUCUCUUUUUUAUUUUUAUUUAUUUAUUUAUUUAUUUAUUUUUGUCUUUCUCUUUUUGACUUACGUCCUUAGUAUGAAAGUCUCUAGUUCCUUCUAUGGCUGCAAAUGGCAUUAUUUUGUUCUUUUUUUGUGGUCAAGUAAUAUUCCAUUGUGUAUAUAUACCACAUCUUAAUCCCAUCAUCUGUCAAUGGACAUUGAGGUUGUUUCCAUGUCUUGGCUAUUGUGAAUAGUGCUGUAAUGAACAUAGGGUUGCGUGUAUCUUUUUCAAAGAAAGUUUUAUCCAGAUAUAUGCCCAGGAAUGGGAUUGCUGUGUCGUUGGUAGUUCUAUAUUUAGGGACCUCCAUACUGUUUUCCAUAGUGGUCGUACCAAUUUACAUUCCCACCAACAGUGUAGGAUGGUGAGAACGAAGUCUCUUAAAAAUUCUCCAAUAAGACGUGUGUUUAAUUCCUCAGGAAUUUUCCUUCAUUAGCCUCUUGUCUUUAUGGAAAGACAGACAUAGAAUAGAUGCAUAACUUACUUCUGGCCUCCUAAUAUUUUUUGUUUGACUUGGCUCUCAGUAGGUUAAAGAAAGGUGUUCAUUAAAGCAGUGGGAUUGUGUUGACCUAAAAUGCCAAAGGGAUUUUGAGUAACUUGUCUGUGUGCAUUUCUAAAUAUUUGAAAAGAGAAAGAUAGCUUUCUUGUGUGAGACCCUUUCAGAAGCAGAGGUCAUCUUGUGACCUCUCUAAGGCCCUUUAAGCUUUAUGAUUUCUUGACAGCAUGGUUUUUGAGUUGUAUUAAGCCAACUAAAGUUGUUGGACGCAACAUGUAAAUACAGAUCUAGCUAACAUGUCAAUCAUUUGCAUCUCCUUUAGCCAAUUUUCUGUUCAGCAUUGCCUCUUUUGUGGAAAGGCUUGAAAAGUAAAUGUAGGUAUAACAAUUGAGUUGAAUACUUAGUAGAGCAUAUCUUUAUAAAGCACUUUUAAGUAACGUUUAAUUUAAUCUCUCAUUAUCUUUUUAAAAGUUUUUACUGAGAAAAAUUGCUAACAUACAUAAAAGUAGAAGGAAUACCAUAAUGAAACCCCAUUACCCGUCAUCUAGCUUCAAAAAUUACUAAUAUAUUACCCAACUUGUUUUAUCUAUGUGUUUCCUACCUCUGAUCCCACUUUUUUUUUUUUUUUUUUUUUUUUUUUUGGUCUUUGUAGGGCCGCAUCCAUGGCAUAUGGAUGUUCCCAGGCUAAGGGUCCAAUCGGAGCUGUAGCCACCAGCCUCAGCAAUGCGGGAUCCGAGCCGCCUCUGUGACCUAUACCAUAGCUCACAGCAGUGCCAGAUCCUUAACCCAUUGAGCAAGGCCAGGGAUCGAACCCACGUCCUCAUGGAUGUGAGGUUCACUAACCACUGAGCCAUGAUGGGAACUCCAUGAUCCCAUGGGUUUUUUUUUUUUUUUUCAGUUUUAGUAAAGUAUAAUUUUGGAUCCCAUAAAAGUCACCCAUUGUAAGCAUAUGUGCACUUACACCAAACUGAAGAAUACCACAUAGUGUAUGAUUUCAUUUACAUGAACUGUUUGGGGGAGGAAGUCUAUAGAUUUGGUGAUUAGUGGUUACCAGAGGCUGAGUGUGGGAGUGGAGACUGACUGCAAAUAGGCACUGGGCAACUUGUUGGGGUGAUGAAAAUGCUCUAAAAUUAGACUGUGAUGAUGGUUUCACCAACUCAAGAAAUUCAUUUAGAAGCGUUGUAUUACAAUUCAGUGUAAGUCACAUUUGCUUACAUGGGUGACUUUUAUGGA